AAAGCUUCUUGGUUGUUGCAUUCAAGGAGAAGAGAAAAUGCUGGUUUAUGAGUACAUGUGCAAUAAAAGCCUCGACUCCUUCAUUUUCGGUUUGUAUCACUCAUAACCUAAUAAAUAUGGUUAGCCUACAGUAACUUGAUAGCAAAUGUCAUACAUUCUUAAUGCAAUCAAAUUUGACAUUUAGCACAUUCCAGUAGCAUUUGGACUCAUAUGAAUACAUGACUUGCCAGAUCAAACAAGAAGUAAACUUCUGGACUGGGCCAAGCGUUUCAAUAUUAUCUGUGGGAUCGCUAGGGGCCUUCUCUAUCUGCAUCAAGAUUCAAGAUUGAGGAUUAUACAUAGGGAUCUCAAAGCAAGUAACAUAUUACUUGAUAAUGAGAUGAACCCAAAAAUUUCGGAUUUUGGCUUGGCCAAAACUUUUGGAGGUGAACAAACCGAAGGAAACACAAAUAGGGUGGUUGGAACAUAUGGAUAUAUGGCACCUGAAUAUGCAAUGCGAGGUUAUUUAACCG
rnacentral:misc_RNA from 1 species